ACCAUUUUGUGGUUCAUAAGUGUGAUGAUUAGAUGUUCAUGCUAUUAUGUAAGAUAUGGCUCCCUGAAACCCUGUUAUGACGUUGGCACAUGCUAAUACCUGUUUGACC
ensembl:snoRNA